rnacentral:rRNA from 1 species
AUGAUAAGAUGUUCUCGAUGGAACAAAAGAAGUGGAACAAAUGGGUUUAACUUGUAUGCCUACUCCUGUUGCGAUAAGCAUUUGGUUUCCAUCUACAAGACAAGUUUCUGCUUGUGUAACGACAAUACUGUCUGGGUCGUCCAGUUUUUAGCUAUCAUCUGUUCCAGGAUCAUCCUGACCAUUGGGUUCCUCAUGUUCUCCUUGGUGGUUCUGUACAUUGUCUUAAGACGCAUUGGCCUGUUGAUACUGCAAAUGGAGCUGGUUGAUUCUAGAGAUCAGGCUCAGUAUCAGCUGAAGACAUCUUGGAAAAAGUACAGGAGGGACCUGCUCAAACAAAUGCUCCUCCCAUCUAUGAUGAACUGUGAUUUUACUUUCAUCCAUUGUUUAUACAUGAGCUUACAUCCAGAAGCAAGCUUACCUCUUAGAGUUCUUAUUUCUUAG